rnacentral:rRNA from 1 species
UACGUAGGGGGCAAGCGUUGUCCGGAAUCAUUGGGCGUAAAGAGCGUGUAGGCGGCCAGAUAAGUCCGCUGUGAAAUCUCGAGGCUCAACUUCGAGCUGUCGGUGGAAACUGUCUGGCUAGAGUCCGGAAGAGGAGAAUGGAAUUCCUGGUGUAGCGGUGAAAUGCGCAGAUAUCAGGAGGAACACCGAUGGCGAAGGCAGCCUUCUGGGCCAACACUGACGCUCAUGCACGAAAGCGUGGGGAGCAAACAGG